GAUGAAGAACGUAGUGAAAUGCGAUAAGUAAUGUGAAUUGCAGAAUUCAGUGAAUCAUCGAAUCUUUGAACGCACAUUGCGCCCGCCAGUAUUCUGGCGGGCAUGCCUGUUCGAGCGUCAUUUCAACCAUCAAGCCCCCGGCUUGUGUUGGGGACCUGCGGCUGCCGCAGGCCCUGAAAACCAGUGGCGGGCUCGCUAGUCACUCCGAGCGUAGUAAUACAUCUCGCUCAGGGCGUGCUGCGGGUUCCGGCCGUUAAAAAAGCCUUAUUUACCCAAGGUUGACCUCGGAUCAGGUAGGAAGACCCGCUGAACUUAAGCAUAUCAAUAAGCGGAGA
rnacentral:misc_RNA from 1 species